rnacentral:lncRNA from 1 species
CUUUUAGUGUGAAAGAGGAGCGUGUCCUGGAUUGGUGCGUGGGACCCGGUCAGUCUGAAAACAAGUCUCUCCCAGAGCUGUGUCACCUCUGCGAGCAGAGCCUGAAGCGGUCUGGCCUGCUCGCAGCUGAUCCGCGUGCCCCUCCAUCUGCUCUUCCUCCAGAAAUAAGGCAAGGGUUUUCUCAGAAAUCUGCCGCUGGAAAUCUGGUAACAGGCUUGCUUAAUGCAGCAAGGGAUUUAAUUAGUUUUUCCCAGAGAGAAGGAGAGGAAGGGGAAAUAGUGAGCAGCUGCUGGCAUCUCCGUCUGCAGCCUCCCGUGCUGCCCCUCCCUCCUCAUCGCUGGGGACUGAAAGCUGUGCUUGUGGCUUGGUGCAUCCGCAGAAAGCGGUGCCAACAAAUCCAACCUGUCUCCUCUGCUUCGUUGCCUCUUCUUUCCUCUCCUCCUCUAGGAACAGAGUGUUCCUUGCUCCGGUGGGGCAGCUCUCUUGUGUCCAAGCGAAAUGGCUGAGCCCAGAUUAUGGUAACGCGAGCGGGUUCGAAUAACCCGCUUCCGUGGAGCGCAAACGGGCUCCCUGAGCUGGAAGAUGAACACGGUGCACGACGCGCGGACCGAGGCGCGGGAGCGGCCGAACCGGCGGACGGUGGACCAGCUGAGCCCGGAGCUCCGCGUGGAGAAGUACAUCCUGCUGAGCAUGGAUGGGAAGCUGCUGGGACCGGAGCUGAGCCGGAUCCGGAGCGAGAUGGCCCUGCCCCUGGAGCGCCUGGAUGCUGACCUGCCCCAGGACCUGCCCGCGGGCUACCUCUGGCGCCAGCGCCGCUCGCUGCCCACCUUCCCCCUCGCCCCGGGGAGCGGCCCCCAGAGCCCCGCGGACCUCAGGUACAUGGCGCCGGGACGGAGAGCGCCGGUGCUCCCCGCCGGCUCGCGCCGGGGGGCACCCCC